UCUAAUACCCUAAUGGAUUAUAUGUACAUGGAUUCUGAAAAGUCAGCAGCACACUUCACUGGUCAAUUUCUAUGAUAAGGGGAACGGAAUUUGAGUGUAGAAAAACAGUAUACUUACAUCUUAAAAUUCCACCCCUACAGAAUCUACUCACUAUUGAAAACUGAGACAGAAACACACAGAGACAAUUCCAUGUGACAACAGUGAAAGAGACCAGAGUGAUGCAGCUGCAAAUCAAAAAACUGCCAACACCAGUGAUUGAUGGCCACCACCAGAAUCUGGUUAAGACAAAGAAGGAUCCUCCCCUUGAGGCGUCAGAAAGAACAUGGCCCUCUCAACACUUUGGGUUUGAACUUCUGGCCUCUAGAGCUGUGAUAAAAUAAAUUUCUGUUCUUUUAAGCUAACAAGUUUGUGGUAUCUUGUCAUGGUAGCCCUAGAGAUGACAGUAUUUGAUUCCUGAGCUGGCAACUGUAUUUUGACUAUGUAAUGACUAUUCCAAGAUAAUCAACAGACACAAAGAUAAAGGCAAAACUGAGACUAAGCCCAGUUCUUUUUAUUCCCAGAAUAAUAAAUGAUUUUUUAAUUAA